AUUGAACGCUGGCGGCAGGCCUAACACAUGCAAGUCGAGCGGGGUUUUCGGACCUAGCGGCGGACGGGUGAGUAAUGCGUAGGAAGCUACCCGAUAGAGGGGGAUACCAGUUGGAAACGACUGUUAAUACCGCAUAAUGUCUACGGACCAAAGUGUGGGACCUUCGGGACACAUGCUAUCGGAUGCGCCGACGUGGGAUUAGCGAGUUGGUGGGGUAAUGGCUCACCAAGGCGACGAUCCCUAGCUGGUUUGAGAGGAUGAUCAGCCACACUGGAACUGAGACACGGUCCGGACUCCUACGGGAGGCAGCAGUGGGGAAUAUUGGACAAUGGGCGCAAGCCUGAUCCAGCCAUGCCGCGUGUGUGAAGAAGGCCUUCGGGUUGUAAAGCACUUUCAGUAGGGAGGAAGGGUGUUGUGUUAAUAGCACAGCAUUUUGACGUUACCUACAGAAGAAGCACCGGCUAACUCUGUGCCAGCCGCCGCGGUAACAC
rnacentral:rRNA from 1 species